UUGGAGGGCAAGUCUGGUGCCAGCAGCCGCGGUAAUUCCAGCUCCAAUAGCGUAUAUUAAAGUUGUUGCAGUUAAAAAGCUCGUAGUUGAAUUUCGGGAUUAGUACGCUGGUCGUGCCUUCGGUACGUACUGGUGUUACUGAUUCCUACCUUCUGACGAACCAUCAUGUCAUUAGUUUGGUGUGGUGGGAAAUCAGGACUGUUACUUUGAAAAAAUUAGAGUGUUUAAAGCAGGCUCGCGCUUGAAUACAUUAGCAUGGAAUAAUGAAAUAGGACGUUGAUCCUAUUUUGUUGGUUUCUAGGAUUGACGUAAUGAUUAAUAGGGAUAGUUGGGGGCAUUAGUAUUCAAUUGUCAGAGGUGAAAUUCUUGGAUUUAUUGAAGACUAACUACUGCGAAAGCAUUUGCCAAGGAUGUUUUCAUUAAUCAAGAACGAAAGUUAGGGGAUCGAAGACGAUCAGAUACCGUCGUAGUCUUAACCAUAAACUAUGCCGACUAGGGAUCGAAUGAUGUUAUUUUUAAUGACUCAUUCGGCGCCUUACGGGAAAC
rnacentral:rRNA from 1 species